UACAGAGGCCUCGAGCGUUAGGCGGAAUCACUGGGCUUAAAGCGUGUGUAGGUGGAUGCCUAAGUACCUUGUGAAAUCCCCACGGCUUAACCGUGGAACUGCUGGGUAUACUGGGUGUCUUGAGCCACUCAGGGGCUACCGGAACAAGCGGUGGAGCGGUGAAAUGCGUAGAUAUCGCUUGGAACGCCAAUGGUGAAAAACAGGUAGCUGGGGGUGUGCUGACACUGAGACACGAAAGCCAGGGGAGCAAACGGGG
rnacentral:rRNA from 1 species